CCUACGGGCGGCAGCAGUGGGGAAUAUUGCGCAAUGGGCGAAAGCCUGACGCAGCGACGCCGCGUGAGGGAUGAAGGCCCUCGGAUCGUAAACCUCUGUUAGUAGGGAAGUACGGUCACUGUGCUAAUCAGCAGUGAAUUGACGGUACCUGCAAAGGUAGCACCGGCUAACUCCGUCCCAGCAGCGGCGGUAAUACGGAGGGUGCGAGCGUUAAUCGGAAUUACUGGGCGUAAAGCGUUAGUAGGCGGUAUGUCAAGUCAAGGGUGAAAUCCCCGCGCUCAACGUGGGAACUGCCUUUGAAACUGGCAGACUGGAGUGUGUGAGAGGAUAGUGGAAUUCCAGGUGUAGGGGUGAAAUGCGUAGAUAUCUGGAAGAACAUCAGUGGCGAAGGCGACUAUCUGGCACAUAACUGACGCUGAGGAGCGAAAGCGUGGGUAGCAAACAGGAUUAGAUACCCUAGUAGUC
rnacentral:rRNA from 1 species